UACGUAGGGUGCGAGCGUUGUCCGGAAUUAUUGGGCGUAAAGGGCUCGUAGGCGGUUUGUCGCGUCGGGAGUGAAAUCCACUGGCUUAACUGGUGGCCUGCUUUCGAUACGGGCAGACUGGAGGUAUGCAGGGGAGAACAGAAUUCCUGGUGUAGCGGUGAAAUGCGCAGAUAUCAGGAGGAACACCGGUGGCGAAGGCGGUUCUCUGGGCAUGUCCUGACGCUGAGGAGCGAAAGUGUGGGGAGCGAACAGG
rnacentral:rRNA from 1 species